AGGGUUACGCCACAUGGGACUGAGAUACGGCCCAGAUUCUACGGGAGGCAGCAGUGGGAAUAUUGCACAAUGGGCGGAAGCCUGAUGCAGCGACGCCGCGUGGGGAUGACGGCCUUCGGGUUGUAAACUCCUUUCGACAGGGACGAAGCGCAAGUGACGGUACCUGUAUAAGAAGCACCGGCUAACUACGUGCCAGCAGCCGCGGUAAUACGUAGGGUGCGAGCGUUGUCCGGAAUUACUGGGCGUAAAGAGCUCGUAGGUGGUUUGUCGCGUCGUCUGUGAAAUUCCGGGGCUUAACUUCGGGCGUGCAGGCGAUACGGGCAUAACUUGAGUGCUGUAGGGGAGACUGGAAUUCCUGGUGUAGCGGUGAAAUGCGCAGAUAUCAGGAGGAACACCGAUGGCGAAGGCAGGUCUCUGGGCAGUUACUGACGCUGAGGAGCGAAAGCAUGGGUAGCAAACAGGAUUAGAUACCCUGGUAGUCCAUGCCGUAAACGGUGGGCGCUAGGUGUAGGGGGCUUCCACGUCUUCUGUGCCGUAGCUAACGCAUUAAGCGCCCCGCCUGGGGAGUACGGCCGCAAGGCUAAAACUCAAAGGAAUUGACGGGGGCCCGCACAAGCGGCGGAGCAUGUGGAUUAAUUCGAUGCAACGCGAAGAACCUUACCUGGGCUUGACAUACACCAGAUUGCUGCAGAGAUGUAGUGUCCCUUGUGGUUGGUGUACAGGUGGUGCAUGGUUGUCGUCAGCUCGUGUCGUGAGAUGUUGGGUUAAGUCCCGCAACGAGCGCAACCCUUGUCUUAUGUUGCCAGCAUUUGGUUGGGGACUCAUGAGAGACUGCCGGGGUUAACUCGGAGGAAGGUGGGGAUGACGUCAAAUCAUCAUGCCCCUUAUGUCCAGGGCUUCACACAUGCUACAAUGGUCGGUACAACGCGCAGCGACACUGUGAGGUGGAGCGAAUCGCUGAAAGCCGGCCUUAGUUCGGAUUGGGGUCUGCAACUCGACCCCAUGAAGUCGGAGUCGCUAGUAAUCGCAGAUCAGCAAUGCUGCGGUGAAUACGUUCCCGGGCCUUGUACACACCGCCCGU
rnacentral:rRNA from 1 species